rnacentral:rRNA from 1 species
CUACGGGGGGCUGCAGUGGGGAAUAUUGGACAAUGGGGGCAACCCUAAUCCAGCCAUGCCGCGUGUGUGAAGAAGGCCCUCGGGUUGUAAAGCACUUUCAGUGAGGAAGAACGCCUGGUGGUUAAUACCCAUCAGGAAAGACAUCACUCACAGAAGAAGCACCGGCUAACUCCGUGCCAGCAGCCGCGGUAAUACGGAGGGUGCGAGCGUUAAUCGGAAUUACUGGGCGUAAAGCGCGCGUAGGUGGCUUGAUAAGCCGGUUGUGAAAGCCCCGGGCUCAACCUGGGAACGGCAUCCGGAACUGUCAAGCUAGAGUGCAGGAGAGGAAGGUAGAAUUCCCGGUGUAGCGGUGAAAUGCGUAGAGAUCGGGAGGAAUACCAGUGGCGAAGGCGGCCUUCUGGACUGACACUGACACUGAGGUGCGAAAGCGUGGGUAGCAAACAGGAUUAGAUACCCUUGUAGUC